AAAGGUUCCUUCGGGAACCGAGUAGAGUGGCGCACGGGUGAGUAACACGUAGGUAAUCUACCUCUGGGCGGGGAAUAACAGUCGGAAACGGCUGCUAAUACCGCAUAAUGCAGCGGCACCACAUGGUGACAGUUGUUAAAGCGGGGGAUCGUAAGACCUCGCGCCUAGAGAUGAGCCUGCGGCAGAUUAGCUAGUUGGCAGGGUAACGGCCUACCAAGGCUUCGAUCUGUAGCCGGCCUGAGAGGGCGGACGGCCACACUGGCACUGACAUACGGGCCAGACUCCUACGGGAGGCAGCAGUCGGGAAUUUUGGGCAAUGGGCGAAAGCCUGACCCAGCAACGCCGCGUGAAGGAUGAAGCUUUUCGGAGUGUAAACUUCAUAAGAAUGGGACGAAUAAGUGGGGGAUAAUACCCCCCAUGAUGACGGUACCAUUUGUAAGCUCCGGCUAACUCCGUGCCAGCAGCCGCGGUAAUACGGGGGGAGCAAGCGUUGUUCGGAUUUACUGGGCGUAAAGGGCGCGUAGGCGGCGCAACAAGUCACUUGUGAAAUCUCCGGGCUUAACCCGGAGCGGCCAAGUGAUACUGUCGUGCUAGAGUGCGGAAGGGGCUACUGGAAUUCUCGGUGUAGCGGUGAAAUGCGUAGAUAUCGAGAGGAACACCUGCGGCGAAGGCGGGUAGCUGGGCCGACACUGACGCUGAGGCGCGAAAGCCAGGGGAGCGAACGGGAUUAGAUACCCCGGUAGUCCUGGCCUUAAACGAUGGAUACUUGGUGUCCGGGGUUACAUAGUCCCCGGGUGCCGGCGCUAACGCAUUAAGUAUCCCGCCUGGGGAGUACGGUCGCAAGACUGAAACUC
rnacentral:rRNA from 1 species